AUACGGAGGGUGCAAGCGUUAAUCGGAAUUACUGGGCGUAAAGCGCGCGUAGGCGGUUUAGUCAGUCAGAUGUGAAAGCCCCGGGCUCAACCUGGGAACUGCAUUUGAUACUGCUGAACUAGAGUAUGGUAGAGGGGAGUGGAAUUCCGGGUGUAGCGGUGAAAUGCGUAGAUAUCCGGAGGAACACCAGUGGCGAAGGCGACUUCCUGGACCAAUACUGACGCUGAGGUGCGAAAGCGUGGGUAGCAAACAGGAUUAGAAACCCCAGUAGUCC
rnacentral:rRNA from 1 species